UAAGGUAGCGAAAUUCCUUGUCGGGUAAGUUCCGACCUGCACGAAUGGCAUAACGAUGGCCACACUGUCUCCUCCCGAGACUCAGUGAAGUUGAAAUGUUUGUGAUGAUGCAAUCUACCCGCGGCUAGACGGAAAGACCCCAUGAACCUUUACUGCAGCUUUGCAUUGAACUGUGAACCGAUUUGUGUAGGAUAGGUGGGAGGCAGAGAAGAGGCCACGCCAGUGGCCUUGGAGCCGACCUUGAAAUACCACCCUGAUUUGUUUGCGGUUCUAACCACGGACAGUGAUCCUGUCUUGGGACCGUGCAUGGUAGGCAGUUUGACUGGGGCGGUCGCCUCCUAAAGGGUAACGGAGGAGUACGAAGGUACGCUAGGUACGGUCGGAAAUCGUGCUGAUAGUGCAAUGGCAAAAGCGUGCUUGACUGCGAGAGCAACAACUCGAGCAGAUGCGAAAGCAGGUCAUAGUGAUCCGGUGGCUCUGAAUGGAAGGGCCAUCGCUCAACGGAUAAAAGGUACUCUGGGGAUAACAGGCUGAUACCGCCCAAGAGUUCAUAUCGACGGCGGUGUUUGGCACCUCGAUGUCGGCUCAUCUCAUCCUGGGGCUGUAGUCGGUCCCAAGGGUAUGGCUGUUCGCCAUUUAAAGAGGUACGUGAGCUGGGUUUAAAACGUCGUGAGACAGUUUGGUCCCUAUCUGCCGUGGGCGUUGGAAGAUUGACGGGGGCUGCUCCUAGUACGAGAGGACCGGAGUGGACGCACCUCUGGUGUACCGGUUGUCACGCCAGUGGCAUUGCCGGGUAGCUAAGUGCGGAAGAGAUAACCGCUGAAAGCAUCUAAGCGGGAAACUUGCCUGAAGAUGAGUCUUCCCGGAGGUUGAACCUCCCUCAAGAGUCGUCCGAGACCAGGACGUCGAUAGGUCAGGUGUGUAAGCGCUGUAAGGCGUUGAGCUAACUGAUACUAAUUGCUCGUGAGGCUUGAUCCU
rnacentral:rRNA from 1 species